rnacentral:lncRNA from 1 species
AUAAACGCAUGCAGGAGUGGUCGCAAGAGUGGUUAAUCUAUACACAACCCAUGUAUUGAAAAGAUAGAUAUAGAGCAUAGUUGGCUUACACUUGCCACGAAUCACACAACAUGAUCAAGUUUAAUACAAUCAUUCAAGAUGAACACAAGGUCUGGCUAUGGACGAAAACCAAACGAAUAAAAGACAACCAUCCAUGCUAAGUCCCGAUCGUCCCUACUGGGCACCACUACUAAUCGCCCGGAUAAGUGACGUACAUCCGGCCACGUUCUUCAUCGAACUCCCACUGAAGCUCCUGUUCAUCAUUAGCAUCAAACUCAGAGGUAGCUGCAGCUGUUGUUGUAGUAAACUAUGAGCCACGAGGACUAAGCAAUCGCAUUCCAGGGUAUCAAGACUAACAAAGCUUUUAGGUGAUGAAGGGUAUUUGGUGGGGUUGCUGCGAAGCACCAAGCAUAUAUGAGGUGGCUAGCUUAUGUUUUCAGAGUAAGGUGAGAAGCUACGCAUACGGUCGUAACUAAUAAAGACCACUAAGUGAUCAUAUCUACUUUCAUAUCAAAUAUAACCCCGCCAUGUUCUCUUCCCGAACUCCUUCGAAUAGAGACCAUCACGGCUACGCACAUAGGUAGUGUAUUUUAUUUGAGGUUUGGUGUCAAGUUUUCUACAACCGGAUAUUAAAAACUCUCAUCUGCCACAUAACCGUGGGCACAGCUUUCCAAAGUUUAAACCCUGCAGGGAUGUCCCAACUUAGCCCAUGAUAAGCUCUCACGAUCAACAGAGGAAAAACCUCCUUCUGAGACAACCCGAUCAAGCUCGGAAUCCCGGUUUACAAGACUUUUCGACAAUGGUAAAACUGUUGGAAAUAUGCCCUAGAGGCAAUAAUAAAAGUAUUAUUAUAUUUCAUUGUUCAUGAUAAUUGUCUUUUAUUCAUGCUAUAACUGUAUUAUCCGGAAAUCGUAAUACACGUGUGAAUACUUAGACCACACAUGUCCCUGGUAAGCCUCUAGUUGACCAGCUCGUUGUGAUCAACAGAUAGUCAUGGUUUCCUGACUAUGGACAUUGGAUGUCGUUGAUAACGGGAUCACAUCAUUAGGAGAAUGAUGUGAUGGACAAGACCCAAUCCUAAGCAUAGCAUAAAAGAUCGUGUAGUUCGUUUUGCUAGAGCUUUGCAAGUGUCAAGUAUCUCUUCCUUCGACCAUGAGAUCGUGUAACUCCCGGAUACCGUAAGAGUGCCUUGGGUGUACCAAACGUCACAACGUAACUGGGUGACUAUAAAGGUGCAUUACAGGUAUCUCCAAAAGUAGCUGUUGGGUUGACACGGAUCGAGACUGGGAUUUGUCACUCCGUAUGACGGAGAGGUAUCUCUGGGCCCACUCGGUAAUGCAUCAUCAUAUUGAGCUCAAUGUGACCAAGGUGUUGGACACGGGAUCAUGCAUUACGGUACGAGUAAAGUGACUUGCCGGUAACGAGACUGAACAAGGUAUUGGGAUACCGACGAUCGAGUCUCGGGCAAGUAACGUACCGAUUGACAAAGGGAAUUGCAUACAGGGUUUGAUUGAAUCCUUGACAUAGUGGUUCAUCCGAUGACAACAUCGAGGAGCAUGUGGGAGCCAUCAUGGGUAUCCAGAUCCCGCUGAUGGUUAUUGACUGAGAGCGUCUCGGUCAUGUCUACAUGUCUCCCGAACCCGUAGGGUCUACACACUUAAGGUUCGGUGACGCUAGGGUUAUGAAGAUAUGUAUAUGCAGAAACCCGAAUGUUGUUCGGAGUCCCGGAUGAGAUCCCGGACGUCACGAGGAGUUCCGGAAUGGUCCGGAGGUAAAGAAUUAUAUAUAGGAAGUGCUAUUUCGGGCAUCGGGACAAGUUUCGGGGUUAUCGGUAUUGUACCGGGACCACCGGAAGGGUCCCGGGGGUCCACCGGGUGGGGCCACCUGUCCCGGGGGGGCACAUGGGCUGUAGGGGGUGCGCCUUGGCCAUCAUGGGCCAAGGGCACCAGCCCCUAUAGGCCCAUGCGCCUAGGGUUUCCCCCUAGGAGGAGUCCUAGUGGUGGAAGGCACCCCUAGGUGCCUUGGGGGGGAGGGAAACCUCCCCUAGGCCGCCGCCCCCCCUAGUAGAUCUCAUCUACUAGGGCCGGCGCCCCCCCUUGGCACCCCUAUAUAUAGUGGGGGGAGAGGAGGAGAACAGACCAGCCCCUGGCGCCUCCACCUUUCCCCGUUACGUCUCUCCCUCGUAGUCUCGGCGAAGCCCUGCUGCUGUGACGCCCUGCAUCCACCACCACGCCGUCGUGCUGCUGGAUCUUCAUCAACCUCUCCUUCCCCCUUGCUGGAUCAAGAAGGAGGAGACGUCUCCCGUCCCGUACGUGUGUUGAACGCGGAGGUGCCGUCCGUUCGGCGCUGGUCAUCGGUGAUUUGGAUCACGUCGAGUACGACUACAUCAUCACCUUGCAAGCUUCCGCACGCGAUCUACAAGUGGUAUGUAGAUGCAAACUCUCUCCCUAGACUCAUUGCUUAGAUGAACUCAUAGAUGGAUCUUGGUGAAACCGUAGGAAAAAUUUUAAUUUUCUGCAACGUUCCCCAACAGUGGCAUCAUGAGCUAGGUCUAUGCGUAGUUCUCUUUGCACGAGUAGAACACAACUUUGUUGUGGGCGUGGAUUUUGUCAUCUUACUUGCCUCUACUAGUAUUUUCUUGCUCAACGGUAUUGUGGGAUGAAGCGGCCCGGACCAACCUUACACGUACGCUUACGUGAGACCGGUUCCACCGACUGACAUGCACAAGUUGCAUAAGGUGGCUGGCGGGUGUCUGUCUCUCCCACCUUAGUUGGAGCGGAAUCGAUGAACAGGGCCCUUAUGAAGGGUAAAUAGAAGUUGACAAAAUCACGUUGUGGUGAUUCGUAGGUAAGAAAACGUUCUUGCUAGAACCCAAUUGCAGCCACGUAAAAGAUGCAACAACAAUUAGAGGACGUCUAACUUGUUUUUGCAGCGAUUGAUCAUGUGAUGUGAUAUGGCCAGAAGUUGUGAUGAAUGAUGAAUUGUGAUGUAUGAGAUCAUGUUCUUUGUAAUAGGAUUCACGACUUGCAUGUCGAUGAGUAUGACAACCGGCAGGAGCCAUAGGAGUUGUCAUUAUUUUUUGUAUGACCUGCGUGUCAUUGAAUAACGUCAUGUAAACUACUUUACUUUAUUGCUAAACGUUAGUCAUAGAAGUAGAAGUAGUCGUUGGCGUGACAACUUCAUGAAGAUACGAUGAUGGAGAUCAUGAUGAUGGAGAUCAUGGUGUCAAGCCGAUGACAAGAUGAUCAUGGAGCCCCGAAGAUGAAGAUCAAUGGAGCUAUAUGAUAUUGGCCAUAUCAUGUCACAACUAUAUAAUUGCAUGUGAUGUUUAUUAUGUAUUAUGCAUCUUGUUUACUUAGGACGACGGUAGUAAAUAAGAUGAUCCCUUAUAAAAUUUCAAGAAGUGUUCUCCCCUAACUGUGCACCGUUGCUACAGUUCGUCGUUUCUAAGCACCACGUGAUGAUCGGGUGUGAUGGAUUCUUACGUUCACAUACAACGGGUGUAAGACAGUUUUACACAGCGAAAACACUUAGGGUUAACUUGACGAGCCUAGCAUGUGCAGACAUGGCCUCGGAACACGGAGACCGAAAGGUCGAACACGAGUCGUAUGGAAGAUACGAUCAACAUGAAAAUGUUCACCGACGAUGACUAGUCCGUCUCACGUGAUGAUCGGACACGGACUAGUCGACUCGGAUCGUGUAACACUUAGAUGACUAAAGGGAUGUCUAAUCUAAGUGGGAGUUCAUAAUUUGAUUAGAACUUUAUUAUCAUGAACUUAGUCUAAAAUCUUUGCAAAUAUGUCUUGUAGAUCAAUGGCCAACGCUAAUGUCAACAUGAACUUCAACGCGUUCCUAGAGAAAACCAAGCUGAAAGAUGAUGGCAGCAACUAUACGGACUGGGUCCGGAACCUGAGGAUCAUCCUCAUAGCUGCUAGGAAACAAUAUGUCCUAGAAGGACCGCUAGGUGACGCUCCCGUCCCAGAGAACCAAGACAUUAUGAAUGCUUGGCAAACUCGCGCUGAUGAUUACUCCCUCGUUCAGUGCGGCAUGCUUUACAGCUUAGAACCGGGGCUCCAAAAGUGUUUUGAGCAUCACGGAGCAUAUGAGAUGUUCGAAGAGCUGAAACUAGUUUUCCAAGCUCAUGCCCGGGUCGAGAGAUAUGAUGUCUCCGACAAGUUCUACAGUUGUAAGAUGGAGGAGAACAGUUCUGUCAGUGAGCACAUCCUAAAGAUGUCUGGGUUGCACAACCGUAUGACCCAGCUGAACAUUAACCUCCCAGAUGAGGCGGUCAUUGACAGAAUCCUCCAGUCGCUCCCACCAAGCUACAAGAGCUUUGUGAUGAACUACAACAUGCAGGGAAUGGAAAAGACCAUUCCUGAAGUGUUCUCGAUGCUGAAGUCAGCAGAGGCUGAAAUCAAGAAAGAACAUCAAGUGUUGAUGGUCAAUAAGACCACUAAGUUCAAGAAGGGCAAGGGUAAGAAGAACUUCAAGAAGGACGGCAAAGAUGUUGCCGCGCCUGGUAAGCCAGUUACCGGGAAGAAGUCAAAGAAUGGACCCAAGCCUGAGACUGAGUGCUUUUAUUGCAAGGGGAAGGGUCACUGGAAGCGGAACUGCCCCAAAUACUUAGCGGAUAAGAAGGCCGGCAACACCAAAGGUAUAUUUGAUAUACAUGUGAUUGAUAUGUACCUUACCAGUACUCGUAGUAACUCCUGGGUAUUUGAUACCGGUGCCGUUGCUCAUAUUUGUAACUCACAGCAGGAGCUGCGGAAUAAACGGAGACUGGCGAAGGACGAGGUGACGAUGCGCGUCGGGAAUGGUUCCAGAGUCGAUGUGAUCGCCGUCGGCACGCUGCCUCUACAUUUACCUACGGGAUUAGUUUUGAACCUUAAUAAUUGUUAUUUAGUGCCAAGUUUGAGCAUGAACAUUGUAUCUGGAUCUCGUUUAAUACGAGAUGGCUACUCAUUUAAGUCUGAGAAUAAUGGUUGUUCGAUUUAUAUGAGAGAUAUGUUUUAUGGUCAUGCUCCGAUGGUCAAUGGUUUAUUCUUAAUGAAUCUCGAGCGUAAUAUUACACAUGUUCAUACUGUAGAUGCCAAAAGAUGUAAAGUUGAUAACGAUAGUCCCACAUACUUGUGGCACUGCCGCCUUGGUCACAUUGGUGUCAAGCGCAUGAAGAAGCUCCAUGCCGAUGGACUUUUAGAGUCUCUUGAUUAUGAAUCAUUUGACACGUGCGAACCAUGCCUCUUAGGCAAAAUGACCAAGACUCCGUUCUCCGGAACAAUGGAGCGAGCAACCAACUUGUUGGAAAUCAUACAUACCGAUGUGUGCGGUCCAAUGAGCGUUGAGGCUUGGGAGGAUAUCGUUAUGUUCUCACCCUCACAGAUGACUUGAGUAGAUAUGGGUAUGUCUACUUAAUGAAACACAAGUCUGAGACCUUUGAAAAGUUUAAGGAAUUUCAGAAUGAGGUGGAGAAUCAACGUGACCGAAAGAUAAAAUUCUUACGAUCAGAUCGUGGAGGAGAAUACUUAAGUCACGAAUUUGGUACACACUUAAAGAAAUGUGGAAUCGUUUCACAGCUCACGCCGCCUGGAACACCUCAGCGAAACGGUGUGUCCGAACGUCGUAAUCGCACUCUAUUGGAUAUGGUGCGGUCUAUGAUGUCUCUUACCGAUUUACCGCUAUCAUUUUGGGGAUACGCUCUAGAGACAGCUACAUUCACUUUAAAUAGGGCACCGUCUAAAUCCGUUGAGACGACACCGUAUGAAUUAUGGUUUGGAAAGAAACCUAAGUUGUCGUUUCUAAAAGUUUGGGGAUGCGAAGCUUAUGUCAAGAAACUUCAACCUGAAAAGCUCGAACCCAAGUCGGAAAAAUGCGUAUUCAUAGGAUACCCUAAGGAAACUGUAGGGUAUACCUUCUACUUAAGAUCCGAAGGCAAGAUCUUUGUUGCCAAGAACGGAUGCUUUCUGGAAAAAGAGUUUCUCUCGAAAGAAGUAAGUGGGAGGAAAGUAGAACUCGAUGAAGUACUACCUCUUGAGCGGGAUAGUGACGCAGCACAGGAAACCGUUCCUGUGAUGCCCACACCAACUGAAGAGGAAAACCAUGAUGAUGAUCAAGGUACUUCGGAUCAAGUUAGUGCUGAACCUCGUAGGUCCACAAGGACACGUUCCGCACCAGAGUGGUACGGCAACCCUGUCCUGGAAAUCAUGUUGUUAGACAACAAUGAACCUUCGAACUAUGAAGAAGCAAUGGCGGGCCCGGAUUCCAACAAAUGGCUUGAAGCCAUGAAAUCCGAGAUAGAAUCCAUGUAUGAAAACAAAGUAUGGACUUUGACAGACUUGCCCGAUGAUCGGCGAGCGAUAGAAAACAAAUGGAUCUUUAAGAAGAAGACGGACGCGGAUGGUAAUGUUACCAUCUAUAAAGCUCGACUUGUCGCUAAGGGUUAUCGACAGGUUCAAGGGAUUGACUACGACGAGACAUUCUCUCCCGUAGCGAAGCUAAAGUCCGUCCGAAUCAUGUUAGCAAUUGCCGCAUACUAUGAUUAUGAGAUAUGGCAGAUGGACGUCAAAACAGCAUUCCUUAACGGGCAUCUUAAGGAAGAACUGUAUAUGAUGCAGCCGGAAGGUUUUGUCGAUCCUCGGAACGCUAACAAAGUAUGCAAGCUCCAGCGAUCCAUUUAUGGACUGGUGCAAGCAUCUCGGAGUUGGAACAUUCGCUUUGAUGAGAUGAUCAAAGCGUUUGGGUUUAUGCAGACUUAUGGAGAAGCCUGCGUUUACAAGAAAGUGAGUGGGAGCUCUGUAGAAUUUCUCAUAUUAUAUGUAGAUGACAUACUCCUGAUGGGAAAUAAUAUAGAAUUUCUGGACAGCAUUAAGGCCUACUUGAAUAAGUGUUUUUCAAUGAAGGACCUUGGAGAAGCUGCUUAUAUAUUAGGCAUCAAGAUCUAUAGAGAUAGAUCGAGACGCCUCAUAGGUCUUUCACAAAGCACAUACCUUGAUAAGAUUUUGAAGAGAUUCAGAAUGGAUCAGUCCAAGAAGGGGUUCUUGCCUAUGUUACAAGGUAUGAGACUGAGCUCAGCUCAGUCACCGACCACGGCAAAAGAUAAAGAAGAGAUGAGUGUCAUCCCCUAUGCUUCAGCCAUAGGAUCUAUUAUGUAUGCCAUGCUGUGUACCAGACCCGAUGUAAACCUUGCCGUAAGUUUGGUAGCAAGAUACCAAAGUAAUCCCGGCAAGGAACACUCGACAGCGGUCAAGAAUAUCCUGAAGUACCUGAAAAGGACAAAGGACAUGUUUCUCGUUUAUGGAGGAGACGAAGAGCUCGUCGUAAAGGGUUACGUCGACGCUAGCUUCGACUCAGAUCUGGAUGACUCUAAGUCACAAACCGGAUACGUAUAUAUGUUGAAUGGUGGAGCAGUAAGCUGGUGCAGCUGCAAGCAGAGCGUCGUGGCGGGAUCUACGUGUGAAGCGUAGUACAUGGCAGCCUCGGAGGCAGCACAUGAAGCGAUUUGGGUGAAGGAGUUCAUCACCGACCUAGGAGUCAUACCCAAUGCGUCGGGGCCGAUCAAACUCUUCUGUGACAACACUGGAGCUAUUGCCCUCGCAAAGGAGCCCAGGUUUCACAAGAAGACCAGGCACAUCAAGCGUCGUUUCAACUCCAUCCGUGAAAAUGUUCAAGAUGGAGACAUAGAGAUUUGCAAAGUGCACACGGAUCUGAAUGUCGCAGAUCCGCUGACUAAACCUCUCUCGCGUGCAAAACAUGAUCAACACCAGAACUCUAUGGGUGUUCGAUUCAUCACAAUGUAACUAGAUUAGUGACUCUAGUGCAAGUGGGAGACUGUUGGAAAUAUGCCCUAGAGGCAAUAAUAAAAGUAUUAUUAUAUUUCAUUGUUCAUGAUAAUUGUCUUUUAUUCAUGCUAUAACUGUAUUAUCCGGAAAUCGUAAUACACGUGUGAAUACUUAGACCACACAUGUCCCUAGUAAGCCUCUAGUUGACCAGCUCGUUGUGAUCAACAGAUAGUCAUGGUUUCCUGACUAUGGACAUUGGAUGUCGUUGAUAACGAGAUCACAUCAUUAGGAGAAUGAUGUGAUGGACAAGACCCAAUCCUAAGCAUAGCAUAAAAGAUCGUGUAGUUCGUUUUGCUAGAGCUUUGCAAGUGUCAAGUAUCUCUUCCUUCGACCAUGAGAUCGUGUAACUCCCGGAUACCGUAAGAGUGCCUUGGGUGUACCAAACGUUACAACGUAACUGGGUGACUAUAAAGGUGCAUUACAGGUAUCUCCGAAAGUAGCUGUUGGGUUGACACAGAUCGAGACUGGGAUUUGUCACUCCGUAUGACGGAGAGGUAUCUCUGGGCCCACUCGGUAAUGCAUCAUCAUAUUGAGCUCAAUGUGACCAAGGUGUUGGACACGGGAUCAUGCAUUACGGUACGAGUAAAGUGACUUGCCGGUAAGGAGACUGAACAAGGUAUUGGGAUACCGACGAUCGAGUCUCGGGCAAGUAACGUACCGAUUGACAAAGGGAAUUGCAUACAGGGUUUGAUUGAAUCCUCGACAUAGUGGUUCAUCCGAUGACAACAUCGAGGAGCAUGUGGGAGCCAUCAUGGGUAUCCAGAUCCCGCUGAUGGUUAUUGACUGAGAGCGUCUCGGUCAUGUCUGCAUGUCUCCCGAACCCGUAGGGUCUACACACUUAAGGUUCGGUGACGCUAGGGUUAUGAAGAUAUGUAUAUGCAGAAACCCGAAUGUUGUUCGGAGUCCCGGAUGAGAUCCCGGACGUCACGAGGAGUUCCGGAAUGGUCCGGAGGUAAAGAAUUAUAUAUUGGAAGUGCUAUUUCGGGCAUCGGGACAAGUUUCGGGGUUAUCGGUAUUGUACCGGGACCACCGGAAGGGUCCCGGGGGUCCACCGGGUGGGGCCACCUGUCCCGGGGGGGCACAUGGGCUGUAGGGGGUGCGCCUUGGCCAUCAUGGGCCAAGGGCACCAGCCCCUAUAGGCCCAUGCGCCUAGGGUUUCCCCCUAGGAGGAGUCCUAGUGGUGGAAGGCACCCCUAGGUGCCUUGGGGGGGAGGGAAACCUCCCCUAGGCCGCCGCCCCCCCUAGUAGAUCUCAUCUACUAGGGCCGGCGCCCCCCCCCCCCUUGGCACCCCUAUAUAUAGUGGGGGGAGAGGAGGAGAACAGACCAGCCCCUGGCGCCUCCACCUUUCCCCGUUACGUCUCUCCCUCGUAGUCUCGGCGAAGCCCUGCUGCUGUGACGCCCUGCAUCCACCACCACACCGUCGUGCUGCUGGAUCUUCAUCAACCUCUCCUUCCCCCUUGCUGGAUCAAGAAGGAGGAGACGUCUCCCGUCCCGUACGUGUGUUGAACGCGGAGGUGCCGUCCGUUCGGCGCUGGUCAUCGGUGAUUUGGAUCACGUCGAGUACGACUACAUCAUCACCUUGCAAGCUUCCGCACGCGAUCUACAAGUGGUAUGUAGAUGCAAACUCUCUCCCUAGACUCGUUGCUUAGAUGAACUCAUAGAUGGAUCUUGGUGAAACCGUAGGAAAAAUUUUAAUUUUCUGCAACGUUCCCCAACAAAAACAAAACCAGCAAGACCUCCCGACGUGCUGACACCUCGAUAGGAGCCACGCGUGUCUCAUCUCAGGCUACGAUCGGAUUGGCUAAGUUUCCGGCUAGCACACCCGUUGGUGGCCCCAGCUACUGCCAGUUUGGACAAACACUCAUGAGGAGCACUGGCCCGGGUUGUUGAUUAAGAAUCCUCGGGUUAAUUACUCCCUAUGCAAAUUUUAGUUGUUAUAGGCAAAUGGUAAAACCAAAGUUGGGCCUUGCUGGAAGAGUUUUAUUCAAAGUGAACUGUCAAGGGGGGCCCAUAAACCCUGACCGUGUUAGGAACGCAAAAUUCAAGGAACAUAACACCGGUAUGACGGAAACUAAGGCGGCAAGAGUGGAACAAAACACCAAGCAAAAGGCCAAGCCUUCCACCCUCUACCGAGUAUAUAGAUGCAUUAAUUAAAUAAGAGAUAUUGUGAUAUCCCAUGAUAUGCAUGUCCCAACAUGGAACAACAUGCACUUCACCUGCAACUAGCAACGCUAUAAGAGGGGUUGAGCAAAGCGGUAACAUAGCCAGACAACGGUUUGCUAGGAAGGUGGGUUAGAGGCAUUUCAUGGCAAUGUUUUAGGAGACUGACAAAGAAGUAGAUAGGCAACAUGACAUAGUGAUAGAAUUGAGACAACUAGCAAAGAAAGGUAGUAGUGAUAUCAAGGAACGAUCAUCUUGCCUGCAAUGUUCUUAGUGGUAUCGAAUCCUGGCUCCUCAUUAACAUACUCGACAGCGUCCUCGGACUCAAACUCGUCUCCCAGAACUACCCAAAGAAAUACAGCAUACAAUAAACAACCACUCAUGGCAUGGCAAGCACAUGUUCUACAUGCGGCACUAUCAGGGAUGCAUAAGAAGAACGGUAUGCACAGAGCUAUGGUUCUACUGGAACGAAGGCGUACGAUAAUGGGAAGGUAACGAUGAAGGCAGGAAUGAUAUGGGCAAAAUCUUGGUACCCAAGCAUGCCACUGGAAAGAUUGGAAGAUUUUGGUUGAAAUCGAUAUAAAGAUCAUCAAAAACAGAUGCACUGAACUCCAAUGGUGAGCAAUAUGAUAUGCAAUGCAAAACUGUCAAAACAGCAACAUGCCAACUUGGAUGCAUCAUCUGAAUAUGCAACAGGGCUUUAACAUGAAAACAAAUGGCAUGGAGGUGAAGUACAUGACAAACACUACAAAAUAUGAUUACUGAACUAUUUCUAAAACUCACUAGAACAUCCCCAAAAUAGCAUGGCAAACUAACAAAUGACAGCCGUUUUAUAAUAAGUGCUCACAAGUGCAGUAAGUUAAAUACUGCCUAAUAAGGAAAAUAGACAGAAAUGGCAACUGCCAGAUCUGGAAUGUUCAGAUUUGGAAAGUCAGCCCUUUCCAGAAAUGGAGUUUCGGGGAAAAUAUGAAAAAAAAACAAUAAAGAAAAGGAGGGGUUGUGUGCGUGUUUGUAUGACCAGUGGGUCCUUGGUGUCAUUGACACAUAGGAAAAAUAAAAAAAAGCCAACCCAAAAUUAUGUGGAGACGGGGAUUCAAACCCUGGUCUCAUGCAUGGAGGAGUAUGGUGCUGACCAGUCGACCUUCGCAAAGGUUCUUGCCCAUACAAGGGCCCGUCUCAAUUUGACCAAGCCCCAUAGUGGACUGGGGCUUCUACUGGUUGCAGGAGAUGGUGACGAUGGCGUCGGCGAGGCAGCGUGCAACGCGAGCGGCGGGAGAGCUGCAGCAGGCAUGCGAAAUUGGGAGCAUGUGCAGGUGCAAGAGCGCGGGAAGCUAGGAGAGGCCAGGCGCUCGAGCUCAAGCAUGGCUUAGCUCGGGGCAUGGCGAGGCACGGGGAUGCAGGGAGCAAGGCGGGUCCGGGAUCCGCGCGAGGCUGCAGGAAGCGCAUGGGUGGCUGCUGCGGGCGGGCGGGUAGGCGCAACAAGGAGAAUGCAGCUAGGUGGAAACCGGAGGGCGGGGACGCACGGGCGCGCUACAACAAGUGCACACACACACAAAAAAUAACUACAGACUUCGCCGGAGCACCGAUAGCAUGUGAAAGAUACGGACGAACCGACGCCUACGGCGAUCUAUUGACGGCGGGAAGGAGCAAGGAAGAAGUUGGGUAUACCUCAUAUACCUAUGACGAGAAGAUGAGGCCAGGGACCCGGCGGAGACGGCGCGAGGCAGCUCUGAACUUGGCAGGUUUUUGACCGGGAAGAAGAGGAAGAAUACAGUGUAGUGGAGCUCGAAUCCGAUGUCGUGGCACCGCGUGCGUCGUGGUAGGAGACGUAGGGGGACUUGGCGGACGCUCCCACCGCGGCAGGAUAGGCCUGAGGAGGUCGGAGAGGCUACCCCGAGCUCGAGCUCUAGCUCGGUCGGAGCAUGGCGGCAGGGCGAUGGUGUGGCUCGAGGCGGCUUACCUGAGCGGCGGUGAGGGUAAGAGGGGAGGGG